CCUACGGGGUGCAGCAGUGGGGAAUAUUGGACAAUGGGCGAAAGCCUGAUCCAGCCAUGCCGCGUGUGUGAAGAAGGCCUUCGGGUUGUAAAGCACUUUCAGUGGGGAAGAAAGCCUUGGGGCUAAUACCCUCGAGGAAGGACAUCACCCACAGAAGAAGCACCGGCUAACUCCGUGCCAGCAGCCGCGGUAAUACGGAGGGUGCGAGCGUUAAUCGGAAUUACUGGGCGUAAAGCGCGCGUAGGCGGUCUGAUAAGCCGGUUGUGAAAGCCCCGGGCUCAACCUGGGAACGGCAUCCGGAACUGUCAGGCUAGAGUGAAGGAGAGGAAGGUAGAAUCCCCGGUGUAGCGGUGAAAUGCGUAGAGAUCGGGAGGAAUACCAGUGGCGAAGGCGGCCUUCUGGACUGACACUGACGCUGAGGUGCGAAAGCGUGGGUAGCAAACAGGAUUAGAUACCGAUAGUC
rnacentral:rRNA from 1 species